GCGGCGCAGACUCCGCCUCUCGCCACGCCCCCUUAGGGCGGGGCGGUCCGGUGCACCGCCUCUGAUGGGGCCUCUGUGGGAGUCCCGCCCCGGUUUCUCUCUGGGAGGCUAAUCUCAGACCACUCUUCUUUUGGAACCCUCUCUAGCUUCCGCAUCUGAAUCAAGCACAAGUUUGGGUUUCCUCCACUUUCUUGCCUUUUCCUGGCAAGAUCCAAGUACCAGGGCAGGGCCUAAAGAUGGCGCUUCAUGUGCAAGGCUAGGUGGUCGGAGCGUGAAAAAGCACGCGGGCAGAACUGGCAGCUGAAGGGACGAAGUCCUGUGUGUUUCCGGAAGUGACGGGUCAGCUCAUCAGAGCGUGCAAACUUCCAGCCGCAGCCAUCCCACGAGCAGGCAUAUGGCUUCUCUCCUAAGGGGCAAGGAAGCUGUGAGUGCCACUGUCUGACCCACCCUGUCCCUGGGUCUGCUGCAUCAGGUAACAUCCCUUUUCUCAGCCUGGACCAGAACUAGGGUGGGGCAAGUGAGGUAUCUAGGGUAUAAUACUAAAGGAACACUCAUUUUCAGGGGCCUGCAGGUGUAUGCACCCUUCUUCUUCCUCUAUACCUCCAACUGGCUCACACACACUCUCAUUUCCUGGGCCCAAGCCUGCACCCUACACCAUUGUCCUCACUUCCUAUGCCCUAGUACCCUGUCCUAGGACAGCCCCAACCCCGUCCUUCUGUCUUGCCUCCAAUAGUCCAGGCCCUUUCUUGCACUAGGGAGCCCUUAGCAGCUGUGUAACCUCGCCCCUGACCUUGGUGUCUGAACCCUGAAAUUCACCUCCGUAUUCCAGGCCUUGUGUCCAGUGGUUAUGAUCUCCUCGCUGCACUUGAGGGACAGUAUACACUUGGCCUAACCCUUGUCUAUCACUCCCGGGACCUAACUUCUUUUUUAUUUUAUUUUUUUGUUGUUGUUGGUGGUGGUGGUGAUGGGAAUUGCAGCAAAGGCCUUAAGCAUUCCAGACAAAUGCUCUACCACCGAGUCACAUUCCCAGUGCCUUUUUAUGCCUUUUGUCUCCCAGCUCUCCCCUCUUCCGCUCUAGACCUGCUUGGAAGUCAGGCCUUUCCCCAAUGAGUCGACCCUGAAACAGAUUAUACCCAUCUUAUCCUGCUGGGUCCUAGCCACGCCUCCUACGAGUCUGGUUCAGCCUCAACACCAAGCAAACACGUGCCUGGAAACGCUGGCCAUGGCCUCAGUGGCUCUGGCAUUCCAGAUUGAACCCUCCCCACAAUCCCUCCUCUAGCUGCACCCCUCGUCCAGACUUCUGCCUCUCCGACCAGCCCUGGCGCAGCUCUUACGAGUCGGCCCCCAGUACUGAAACGCUCCCCCAAUUUUCCAGGCCCUUUUUCUGCCCGGUCCUCCUCCAGCGUUGGUGCUGUGCUCUCUGGCUCUGCCCAGAAAGUUCCAGAUCUCCUCCCCGCUCACUCGGCCCCGCCCCUUGCUGUGACUCUGCUUGUAGCCCUGCCUCUGCCGUCCAGAACCUGCCCUCCGGCCUGCACUUCGCCUUUAGCCCCCGCGCCCUUCUUAACUUCUCGCUCUGCGGGGCUCUGCUCUGGGGUCCUGUCCUAACCCGGCUGCGCGCCCGGGCCCCGCCCCCUUACCCGUGUGCGUGCGCAGAUGCGCCUUCAGGUGGGAGCUCUUGGUGUAGCUCUUGCCGCACCCCGGGUGCGCGCACGUGUGCGCAGCCUGCCUCUUGUGCGUCCACGGUCGCCGACCGCGCUUAGAUGGAGCGACGUCUGUAGUUACUCCUGAGUCUCCUGCGGAGCCCCCGAGUCCCGUGCCCACCGUCCCGGGUCCCAGGCAAUUCAGAUAGGAUGGGGUCGCGACGGGGGCAGGCGAAGGCGCCGGGAGACCGGGGAAGAACUGGAAGUGCCCUUGAUACUGCGGCGCUGGGUACAGCGCGGGAUACCCCGAUAGCAGCCCGUAGGGGGCGCCCGGAGCCGCGGGCACUGAAAACCCGGUCCGCGGGAAGUAGCUACCCGAGGAGCCCGCACCAGACCCUGGGUACACUGGCUGCAGCUGCAGUGCCUUGGGCUCGGGGGCUGGGGCCAGGGCUGGUGACACUAAGGGGUUGGGAGCUGUCGCCCCCUGGGCAGGGCGAACCCAGCCUGCCUGCUCCUCGGAGCCCAAGAGCCCAGCUGAAAACUCCGAGCCGCCGGCAUACGGGCCCAGAGUCUCAGGCGGCGGUGGGAACUGCGCCCCGGGGCCCUCACUGGACGUCAGAGCACAGGUCCGGGGCUCACCGCCCGGCUCCGGGCCCGGAAAGUUGGUGAGCAAAAGACUCAGGUCCCAGUCGGCGGCCGCGUCCUUCUCAUUGUCCUCGUUCUCCCUAGGCUGGUCUUCCGACUCCAUGCCCACGUAAAGGGGUGGCCCCGUGUGGUCGGGGGGACCUGGACCCAUGUCCUGUGCCUCCUCGGAACGCCACCACUGGAGAGGGAGCGCACAGCUUGAGACUUGAGCAGACACCGAGGGGUACUUUACCCAGGGACAGUGGCUGGCCAGAGGCUUCUGAAAGGGGACUUGUCUGACUGUCAUACCCCAAACUACCCCCCUAACUCUCCUUCAGCUCCAAAGACAGAGGUCCAUAGGUCUGUCUGGAGAGAGAAGAUAAGACUUCCUUUAUCUGCAGCCAUAUUCAGGAUGGGGGAAGGGUGGUAGAACUGGGGAUGGGAGGCUGAGUUGGGGAAACCCAGCCUUGACUCAGUUCCCCCCCAGACCCUCCCUCUCCUUCCCCAUCUCCCAAUAAGAUUAAGUCCCAAGGACCGGGAAAAACCCCAGAUAGCUUUACUCUUUCCAAUUGAUAUUGGGUUCAUUGUUUGUCCUUCUGAGCCUAAAUAUGCAAGGGGUUCAGCUCACACCUCAGUUUUCCAUUUCAGAAAUAGGCCCCAUCCCAAACCUCAGAACCCCCUAGACCUGGAUGGAGGAGAAUACCAAGGCAAAAUGCAGGCCUAACCUCCCCCCAAAACCUGUGGCCACAGCACUGACUUGUGGACAGCCCACCUGGAUCCCACCUGACCCCACCUUAAGGAAGUCCUCCUGGGUGUCCGGGAAGGGGCCCAGGGUCGUCAGCGUGCUGAUGGAGGGCAAGGCAGUCUCAGCUGUGGCCAUGGCUGGCUGGUGCUCACCCCGCACCUCAGGCCUCCUCUCCCUUGGCUGCCUCGUGGGCUCUGAGGCUCUCUGGGCCCCUUGGAGGGCUCCUCUCAGCCCUCAGCUGAUUGGCUGCAGCCCUUGAUAAGGCACAGACAAGGCAGGGGUCACUGUUUCAGGGGAACGGACCUCACCUCCUACUGUUUGGGGCUGGGCCUGAAAGACUGAUUCUGUUUUCAAAGCUAAGUCAGAUGUCAGUGGUUGGGGGGGGGUCCUGGGAUUGAGGGUGCAGGUGCUGGGUAAAGAGGCACUGAGUCCUCAAAGAGGAAGAAGCUUAGAGGCCUGUUCUCAGUUUACCUUUCUGGAGAAAGGGCAAGUGACAGAAUGCAUAUUCUGGGAAGGGGCUGUGGGACCCUCUUGUUCCCCAAUAGGACUCUGCAGCCCUUCCCCUCCCCAAUAAACAGCAGCAACCGUGCUGAUGGCGGGACUUGGCACGAACUCCCUGCCAGGCAUUAUCAGACACACCAGAUGUCGGAGGUUGCUAUCAGGUGGGGGCCCAGAACACCCAGAGCUGUGUCCCCAGUGAGGGGGAGGGCUGGAGGUUGGGUCUGCAAACUAGCUUGGUUUCAUACUGACUGGGAUGUGAGCUCUCCGGGUCUGAACCCUGUGGUGGGAGGGAGCCCCUGCCAAUCAGCCAACCAUUGCCUACCACUGACUCUCAGUGGACACUGCAUGGAACUAUGGGGAAGGGGAGGCUGGUGCAGUUACAGUUGUUUCAAGGUGAUGGGGGCAGGGAUGGGAUGUUGGAUCAAGCAGGAGACCCAAACCCUGGCUCUGGGCCUGGCCACUGCUCGAUGAAUGAACCACACUGAGGUUCUGCAAGAGAGGCCUCCACUCUGGUGCCUGGGGAGCUUGGAUAGGCACACAACCUCACGCCCCAGAAACAGUUCCUAGCUACACAUAGCCAUGCAAUUACAUAGUGACACAAGUUCCUGAUCUCUUCGUCCAGGAAACCACACAGAAAGUAGGGUUUCUGUACAUAUACAGUCAUCCUUCCAUAUCCACAGGGGAUUGGUUCAGGACCUCCCUCCCAGAUUUUAAAAUUCACAGAUGUUCAAGUCCCUUAUACAAAAUGGCACUAUUUGUAUAGAAUCUUCUUACAGCCUUUAAAUACUUUAAAUCAUCGCCAGAUUAAUUAUAAUACUUAAUGCACUGUAAAUGCUAUGCAAACAGUUGUUGAUACUAUAUUGCUUAGCAUUGCACAAUAUUUACAGACACAGUCCUGAGAUACAGAAUUCAUGACAGGUGCUGAAAAAAAUCCCAGUUACACAAUCCCACUGAUACAGUUUGGCCACAACAAAGUAGACACACGGAGAUUCCUGGGUAUGUUGUUAUUAUAACUAUUGACGUCGCACAACCCCCUAAAACAGAGGUGGCCUCAGACACAAAAAAAUAAAACAUGGCUGCACACAGCUGUCCACAAACAUAGUGAUGGAGUCAUGCACACAACCAUACAUCAUAAAAUCACAGACAUCCUCCCCCAAAUCUGCACUUUAAAUAGCACACUACCUGCCCCGGACACAAUAUGUAGCCACAAAUUUAGAGUUACCAUUGCCAAACCAUAGGGGGCGCAAGCAGCCAAGCACAGGCAAUCACAGGGACAUGGAAUCAAAUGUCCUAAUACAGCACACAGCUUCACCCAGACACAGAUGUGUCACCACAGACCAGUCAUAGUGUGCCAUAAACACACCACACAAAAAAGACAAAAAAAAAA